rnacentral:rRNA from 1 species
GUGCUUAACACAUGCAAGUCGAACGGUGAUGAGGAGCUUGCUUCUUUGAUCAGUGGCGAACGGGUGAGUAACACGUGAGCAAUCUGCCCUUGACUCUGGGAUAACUGCGGGAAACUGUAGCUAAUACCGGAUACGACCUUUGGAGGCAUCUCUGGGGGUGGAAAGAAUUUUGGUCAAGGAUGAGCUCGCGGCCUAUCAGCUAGUUGGUGAGGUAAUGGCUCACCAAGGCGACGACGGGUAGCCGGCCUGAGAGGGUGACCGGCCACACUGGGACUGAGACACGGCCCAGACUCCUACGGGAGGCAGCAGUGGGGAAUAUUGCACAAUGGGCGCAAGCCUGAUGCAGCAACGCCGCGUGAGGGACGAAGGCCUUCGGGUUGUAAACCUCUUUUAGUAGGGAAGAAGCGACUGGGUUUUCCUGGAAGUGACGGUACCUGCAGAAAAAGCACCGGCUAACUACGUGCCAGCAGCCGCGGUAAUACGUAGGGUGCAAGCGUUGUCCGGAAUUAUUGGGCGUAAAGAGCUCGUAGGCGGUUUGUCGCGUCUGCUGUGAAAACCCGAGGCUCAACCUCGGGCCUGCAGUGGGUACGGGCAGACUAGAGUGCGGUAGGGGAGAUUGGAAUUCCUGGUGUAGCGGUGGAAUGCGCAGAUAUCAGGAGGAACACCAAUGGCGAAGGCAGAUCUCUGGGCCGUAACUGACGCUGAGGAGCGAAAGCAUGGGGAGCGAACAGGAUUAGAUACCCUGGUAGUCCAUGCCGUAAACGUUGGGAACUAGAUGUGGGGACCAUUCCACGGUCUCCGUGUCGCAGCUAACGCAUUAAGUUCCCCGCCUGGGGAGUACGGCCGCAAGGCUAAAACUCAAAGGAAUUGACGGGGGCCCGCACAAGC